rnacentral:misc_RNA from 1 species
UGGCUCUCGCAUCGAUGAAGAACGCAGCGAAAUGCGAUAAGUAAUGUGAAUUGCAGAAUUCAGUGAAUCAUCGAAUCUUUGAACGCACCUUGCGCUCCUUGGUAUUCCGAGGAGCAUGCCUGUUUGAGUGUCUUGAAGUCAUCAACCCCUUCCGUUUCGUGCGGACCGGGGUUGGAUAUGGGGGCUCUGCCGCCGCGAGGCGGCUCCCCGCAAAUGCAUCGGUUGGGCCUGUGGGUUCAAACUCGACUGGGCGUUGUACCAUCCUCGCUCGACAGGGACCGUUCCCCUCCUGCGCCCCUCCCCGACCUGCCUUUCGAGAGUGGCGGUCAAGCAAACUUUGAAAUCUGACCUCAAAUCAGGUAGGACUACCCGCUGA